rnacentral:rRNA from 1 species
CGCGCAGGCGGCUAUCCAAGUCAGUGGUGAAAGCCCGGAGCUCAACUCCGGAACUGCCAUUGAAACUGUUUAGCUUGAGUAUGAGAGAGGUGUGUGGAAUUCCCAGUGUAGAGGUGAAAUUCGUAGAUAUUGGGAAGAACACCGGUGGCGAAGGCGGCUCACUGGCUCAUUACUGACGCUCAGGCGCGACAGCGUGGGGAUCAAACA